rnacentral:rRNA from 1 species
CCCUUAGAUGUUCUGGGCCGCACGCGCGCUACACUGACGGAGUCAACGAGUUGUCCUGCAUCGGAAGGUGUGGGUAAUCUUUUGAAACUUCGUCGUGCUGGGGAUAGAUCUUUGCAAUGUUCGAUCUUGAACGAGGAAUUCCUAGUAAGCGUGAUUCAUCAGAUCGCGUUGAUUACGUCCCUGCCCUUUGUACACACCGCCCGUCGCUACUACCGAUUGAAUGGUUUAGUGAGGCCUCGGGACUGGCGCGCUCGAGUAGCAAUACACCUGCGCGCCGGGAACUUGGUCAAACUUGAUCAUUUAGAGGAAGUAAAAGUCGUANCA